CUUUUUGUCUUAAUGACCAAGUGUUCAGCUGUGCACCUUUAUCCCUUCUAAUCUGCUUUCUGACUUUUCCAGUGAACAAAACAGUUGAUAUUUCAUCAUGGAAUUAGAGGAGAAGGAACACAGUCUGGCAGCUUGCUUCAGGGUGUGGGCCUGUGGAUCCCCCGUCCCCUUCGUCAUGGAACCGGACCGAAC
rnacentral:lncRNA from 1 species